GUAGGGUGCGAGCGUUAAUCGGAAUUACUGGGCGUAAAGCGUGCGCAGGCGGUUUGUUAAGCCAGAUGUGAAAUCCCCGGGCUCAACCUGGGAACUGCGUUUGGGACUGGCAAGCUAGAGUACGGCAGAGGGGGGUGGAAUUCCACGUGUAGCAGUGAAAUGCGUAGAGAUGUGGAGGAACACCGAUGGCGAAGGCAGCCCCCUGGGCCGAUACUGACGCUCAGGCACGAAAGCGUGGGGAGCAAACAGGAUUAGAUACCCUGGUAGUCCACGCCCUAAACGAUGCGAACUAGUCGUUGGAGUAGCAAUACUUUAGUGACGCAGCUAACGCGUGAAGUUCGCCGCCUGGGGAGUACGGUCGCAAGAUUAAA
rnacentral:rRNA from 1 species